GAUGAACGCUGGCGGCGUGCCUAAUACAUGCAAGUCGAGCGAACAGACGAGGCGCUUGCUGCUCUGACGUUAGCGGCGGACGGGUGAGUAACACGUGGAUAACCUCCCUAUAAGACUGGGAUAACUUCGGGAAACCGGAGCUAAUACCGGAUAAUAUCUUGAAGCGCAUGGUUCAAUAGUGAGAGUCGGUUUUGCUGUCACUUAUAGAUGGAUCCGCGCCGCAUUAGCUAGUUGGUAAGGUAACGGGUUACCAAGGCAACGAUGCGUGGCCGACCUGAGAGGGGGGUAGCCCACACGGGAGCUUGACCACGCUCCAGACUCCUGCGGGACGGCGCAGUAUGCAAUCGUCCGCAAUGGGCGGAAGCUUGGCGGAGCGACGCCGCGUGAGUUGCGGAGGUCUUCCGAUCGGAAUGCUGUGUUAUGAGGUGAGAACAAAUGUGGAAGUAAACGUGCACGGCUUGACGGUAACGAGUCAGAAAGCCACGGCUAACUACGUG
rnacentral:rRNA from 1 species